AGGAUCAACUCUGGAGAGCGGCCCCGGUAAUCGCCCGGGCCCACCGAAGGGGCAGGCGGCCACACAGGGCUGCUAUCUCUCAGGUACCAAGGACAGAGGGGCGCGC
rnacentral:ncRNA from 2 species